AGAGAUAAAACAUGACCACUCUGUUUUAGUAGUAAUGUAAGUUACUUCAAUAUUCAUUUGUAGUGUCAAGCUUGUGAAAUACAGAUUAACCAUUUUAGUCUUUUUAAAAUCACAGGGUCGAACAACGAAAAUGGCAACCAUCCAGGCUCCGUUUAUCUACAGCAAAACCAUAUAUGAUCCGAGGACACCAUUUAACUACCAACUUGAUUGACUUUAUCCAGGGAAAGUAUUUUCUAUCAGUGGUAUUCCAUUUAAAGAUGCAAAGAGCUUUUCUAUGAAUGUAAAAGGGGAAAACAACACUGCAUUCCGCUUUGACGUACGCUUUUUUAGUGAGAACAAAGGUGUGAUAGUUAGAAAUUCUAAAACAUCAGGUGGCGAUUGGGGUGACGAGGAAAUUAAUUUGAAUGGACCAUAUCCUUUCAUAAAAGACAAGUUUUUUGAAAUGGUCAUGCCUGGUGGGCGAUUUCUGUU